CCGGCGCGAGCUGAGCAGGGGCUGCUUCUCAAAGCUGAAGCAAACGCCUGGGGAUGAGUUGGCUAACAGUAGGUCCUGAAAGGGAGCUUCAUGAGUUAUAAAGGAAAAAUGGUUUUUGCUGCCUGUGAAGUGCAAACUGGGAGUCAUUACCACCAGCGUGGAUACUCUGGAAAAGGCGGGCUUUAUUCUACAACUUAACUUUAAUCAGGCCUGGAUUCUAAGAAUGUCACUCCUGCCUAAUGCAAUAUAUCACAGCAUGGCUAAAACUUCCUAAAGAGAAGUCCCCAAAAUGCUUUGACCAAUAGCUAUGAAUCUGAAGUAUUCACGGAACAACAGAAUCCUUUCUACAAACCACUUUACAGUCGAGAAAAACAAGGCCCUUGUUUUAAAAAAUACCUGAGUCGAAAAAAAGGUCAAGAAAUCAGUUGCAUAAUCUGAAACCUAACAACAAUCCAAACCCAGAGUUCUUCCAGUGAAAGAACAGCAACCAGAUUCUCUCAGGCUUUGGAUCUGCGUGCUGGACUUGGAAUACAUAUUCCCAAGGCUGAUUUCUUCCCUCUCCUCCUCCUUAUCCUUGUUCUUCUUUGUUUUGCCUUUGUCCGCGUUAUACUGCCAUUUUACGUUUUCAAACUGGAACAUGAGGAUAUUGCUGUCCGUCUGGACCACCAUCCUGAAACCAAAAUGAGAGUGCCCACAAAAGGAGCAUGGAGGCCACCAAAACGCACUGAUGACCCGGAGGUAGAGAAGAGACACCUGCAGCACCUCUCUGGAAGGAAACAACAACAGGCAGUACCCGCCUUCUGGAAGACUCUUGGGUUUGCUUAUGGUCUGUAGUGUUGGUGUGCGGUUGGGAGCUUUAGGUGGUUCAUUCAAGCAACCGGAAAUCGCCAGCCAAGACCUAAUUCAUCUGCCACUUCAUUCAACAACAACAAGAAAAGUAAAUAAAUAAAUAAAGAAAUAAAUACAGAUUUCUCCCA